CAAGAAUUACUAAAUCCACUCCUCAACACAAGAAACCUUCAUUGUUUCAAACGGUAUUUCGUUAAAGGAUAUCGAGAAACUGCGUCCCUUUUUUUUUUAACACGAGGAGCGCAUUCAACAGUGCGCGGUGCGUAGCUCAAGUAGCGGACCUGCUGAAAGCUGCGCGGCUGAACAAGGUGGAAGAGUGAGUGAAUCCAUCGACUCUCUUCAACCUAAACAUAUUUCUUAUACAGUUUUAUCCAUGGGGACUGUCAGGGUAAUCGUGAGUUCUUGAGUUUGCAAGAGAAUGUGAUUUUUACGCACAGAUCAGACGGAUGACGCGCUGUUCCAGCCAUGAACGCGCAUCGUGAGGCGCACCGCUGAUAUCUUGAUUUCAAAGGAAGUUUUUAUUACUGUGCGUGUGUCUGCUGUCGACUCAACUUUUACGGCCUUGCUCAGUGAAGCCAGAUGAGAAGGCAGAGGAGCGGAAGGUGGUUGACUUAACAUGGCUGAGCCGCUGGGCCAUCAAUGGGCGCUGGCUGGAGCUCCCCAAAGCGCCUGAAUCCCAGUUGAGUGGAUUGUUUUGGGGUCUGGCAGGUGACCAGAGGCCCAUAAUGACGAAGAGGGAGAAAUUCAACCCGGAUCCGUCCAUCCACAUAUCCAAGAUGAAUGUCAUCAUCCCGUUUUCACCAGAUGUGCCCUGUGACAGCAACGGCCAGCGGAUGUGGUGGGCUUUCCUCGCCUCCUCCAUGGUCACUUUCUUUGGGGGUCUCUUCAUAAUCCUCCUGUGGAGAACUCUCAAAUACCUGUGGACUGUGUGCUGCCACUGUAACGCCAAAAAGAAGACGGUCCAUCGGAUCAACACAGGCGAUGGCAUCAAACGCAUUGACAAGGAAGACCCGGCGGCCAGCGAGGUGGGCUGGAUGACCUCGGUCAAAGACUGGGCCGGAGUCAUGAUAUCCGCUCAGACACUGACGGGAAGAGUCCUGGUGGUGCUUGUAUUUGCUCUCAGCAUUGGAGCCCUUGUUAUAUACUUCAUAGAUUCUUCUGAUCCUAUCGAGUCCUGUCAGAACUUCUAUAAAGACUUUACGCUGCAGAUCGACAUGGCUUUCAACGUGUUCUUCUUGCUCUACUUCGGCCUCCGAUUCAUCGCUGCCAACGACAAGCUGUGGUUCUGGUUGGAGGUGAACUCGGUGGUGGACUUCUUCACGGUUCCUCCGGUGUUUGUGUCGGUGUACCUGAACAGGAGCUGGCUCGGCUUGAGGUUUUUAAGGGCCUUAAGAUUGAUACAGUUCUCAGAAAUUUUACAAUUUUUGAAUAUACUAAAGACGAGCAACUCGAUAAAGCUGGUGAACCUGUGUUCAAUCUUCAUAAGCACAUGGCUAACUGCAGCAGGAUUCAUUCAUUUGGUGGAAAACUCAGGGGAUCCCUGGGAAAACUUCCAAAAUUCCCAGCCACUCUCGUACUGGGAAUGUGUCUACUUGCUCAUGGUUACUAUGUCCACUGUUGGCUAUGGAGACGUUUAUGCAAAAACCACCCUGGGCCGGCUGUUUAUGGUCUUCUUCAUCCUUGGCGGUUUGGCCAUGUUUGCGAGCUACGUCCCUGAAAUCAUAGAGUUAAUAGGAAACCGCAAGAAAUAUGGUGGUUCCUAUAGUGCGGUUAAUGGGAGAAAGCACAUCGUGGUCUGUGGUCAUAUAACACUUGAGAGUGUGUCCAACUUUCUAAAAGACUUCCUACACAAGGACAGGGAUGAUGUCAAUGUAGAAAUUGUUUUUCUUCAUAAUAUUUCCCCUAAUCUUGAGCUGGAAGCCUUGUUCAAGCGUCAUUUCACUCAAGUGGAGUUUUACCAAGGAUCCGUCCUGAACCCACACGACCUGGCCCGAGUCAAGAUCGAAUCAGCUGAUGCCUGUUUGAUCUUAGCCAACAAAUAUUGUGCAGACCCCGAUGCUGAGGAUGCAUCCAACAUCAUGAGAGUAAUAUCUAUCAAGAACUACCAUCCAAAGAUCAGAAUAAUCACUCAAAUGUUGCAGUACCACAAUAAGGCCCACCUUUUGAACAUCCCGAGCUGGAACUGGAAGGAGGGAGAUGAUGCUAUUUGCCUUGCAGAGCUGAAGCUGGGCUUCAUCGCUCAGAGCUGCCUGGCUCAGGGCCUCUCCACCAUGCUGGCCAACCUUUUUUCCAUGAGGUCCUUCAUCAAGAUUGAGGAGGACACGUGGCAGAAGUAUUACCUAGAAGGAGUAGCCAAUGAGAUGUACACUGAGUACCUGUCGAGUGCCUUUGUGGGCAUGUCCUUCCCUGUAAUUUGCGAACUCUGCUAUGUGAAGCUAAAGCUGCUACUGAUAGCUAUAGAGUACAAAUCUGAUCAAAGGGAAUGCAGCACCCUGAUAAAUCCUGGAAACCACAUGAAAAUGCAGGAGGGGACAUUGGGCUUCUUCAUUGCCAGUGAUGCCAAAGAAGUAAAAAGGGCGCUGUUUUACUGUAAAGCCUGCCACGAUGACAUUACUGAUCCCAAAAGGAUUAAGAAAUGUGGAUGCAAGAAAUUGAUAUAUUCCAAGACGGCCGCCUACAAGAAAAUCAGACUGGCAUGUUGUUUUGAUUGCGGCCGCUCAGAGCGGGACUGCUCUUGCAUGCCAGUUAAUGUGCAUUGUAACAUGGACUCCCCUCGACGCGACAUCCCACUCUCUGCUGUCUCUGUUAAUGAUUGCUCAGCCACUUUACGUGCCUCUAAAAAUAGCUAUAAUGGAUAUAUCAAAUCAAUCGAAGAGGACCAACAGUCGGCGUUAUCGCCUAAGAAAAAGCAACGUAACGGAGGCAUGAGAAAUUCUCCAAACUCCUCACCCAAGAUAAUGAGGCAUGAGCCACUCCUCAUCCCGGGGAACGACCAGAUGGAGAGCAUGGACGAGAACGUAAAGAAAUACGACUCCACGGGGAUGUUUCACUGGUGCCCGUCCAAAGACAUCGAGAAGGUCAUCUUGACCCGGAGCGAAGCAGCCAUGACCGUUCUGAGCGGUCAUGUGGUCGUGUGCAUAUUUGGAGAUGUGAAAUCGGCAUUGAUCGGUCUCCGUAAUUUUGUCAUGCCUCUGAGAGCGAGCAACUUUCACUACCACGAGCUGAAGCACAUCGUGUUCGUCGGCUCCCUCGAGUAUCUGAAGCGGGAGUGGGAAACUCUUCACAAUUUUCCAAAGGUCUCCAUUUUACCUGGCACACCGUUGAGUCGGGCAGAUCUGAGGGCUGUCAACAUCAACCUCUGCGACAUGUGUGUCAUUCUGUCAGCCAAUCAGAGCAAUAUUGACGAUGCAUCACUGCAGGACAAAGAAUGCAUCUUGGCGUCACUCAACAUCAAAUCCAUGCUGUUUGACGACAGCAUCGGGGUCUUGCAGGCUAAUUCCCAAGGCUUCACGCCACCAGGGAUGGAUAGAUCAUCUCCUGAAAACAGCCCAGUCCAUGGAUUAGUGAGACAGACCUCUGUCACAACUGGAGCAAAUAUUCCCAUCAUAACAGAACUUGCGCCAUUAGCAAAGCCAGGCAAAAAAGUGCCUGUGAUUUCAUUCAGUCAGGAUAAAAGCAGUGGGACCAGCAUACAAAUGAUAACUGAGCUGGUGAACGACUCGAACGUUCAGUUCCUGGACCAGGAUGAUGAUGACGACCCUGACACAGAGUUAUACCUCACUCAGCCUUUUGCCUGUGGGACAGCCUUCGCCGUCAGUGUGCUGGAUUCUUUAAUGAGUGCUACAUACUUCAAUGACAAUAUCCUCACCUUGAUCCGGACGUUGGUAACAGGCGGGGCGACGCCGGAGCUGGAGGGGCUGCUGGCGGAGGAGAAUGCGUUACGGGGCGGCUACAGCACGCCACAGACGCUGGCGAACAGGGACAGGUGUCGCGUGGCACAGCUGGCCUUGUACGACGGGCCCUUCGCCGACCUCGGGGAUGGUGGUUGUUAUGGUGACCUGUUCUGUAAAGCCCUGAAAACAUACAACAUGUUGUGCUUUGGCAUCUAUCGGCUACGAGACGCACAUCUAAACUCACAAAGCCAAUGUACCAAACGGUAUGUCAUAACAAAUCCACCUUAUGCGUUUGAGCUGGUGCCCUCAGACCUGAUAUUCUGCCUAAUGCAGUUUGACCACAACGCGGGCCAGUCUCGAACCAGCCUCUCCCACUCUUCACAUUCGUCCCAUUCCUCCAGCAAAAAGAGCUCCUCCGUCCACUCUAUUCCCACCACCAACCGCACCAACCGCGCCAAAAGCAGGGACUCACGAGACAAACAAAACUGCUGAAUGAACACUACAAGCUUUUUAUGUGCAACAAGGAUGAAUAGAGUGGGCCAAGAAAAGACAUGGUUUACAGAUGAGCCGGAGAACCUGAGGACCAGACAGAUCAAGCCUGUGAAUACGCAUCAACCAAGUCAGUCAGUAUAAAUCCACAAGCAGCUUGAUUCCACCCAUGAGAGAAAGCAGAAGACGAGUGCUGAGCUCCGUCCCUGCGCUGACACCUGGACGCUCGGACUCCCAGAAAGCUCCUCGUGUGGGUGUCACACCGGGAUCCGGGUUAUC